UGAACGCUGGCGGCGUGUCUAAGGCAUGCAAGUCGAACGAUUAUUGUUUCUUCGGAAGUAAUAAUAGUGGCAAACGGGUGAGUAGCACAUUGGUAACCUACCUCAAAGACGGGAAUAACCCCGCGAAAGCGGAGCUAAUACCCGAUGUGUUCGUUCCACAAAAGUGGGACGAGUAAAGCUUCGGCGCUUUGAGAGGGGCCUAUGCCUCAUCAGCUUGUUGGCAGUGUAAAAGACUACCAAGGCUAUGACGAGUAGCGGGUGUGAGAGCACGACCCGCCUCACUGGGACUGAGAUACUGCCCAGACUCCUACGGGAGGCUGCAGUCAAAAAUAUUCCUCAAUGCACGAAAGUGUGAAGGAGCGACGCCGCGUGAUUGAUGACGCCCUUCGGGGUGUAAAAAUCUUUUCUCUGGGAAGAACUAAUGACUGUACCAGAGGAAUAAGGGGCUGCUAACCUCGU
rnacentral:rRNA from 1 species